rnacentral:lncRNA from 10 species
AAGCGAUGCAGCGCACGGAGUUUUCGGGUCUGGUCGGGUCGGGUGGAGUAGGGUAUGCUUGACUUCCACCCCCCGGACGGAGGGCUUUUGUUUUUGUUUUUUUUUGUUUGUUUUUUCGUAACAUAUCAAUAGGAAACAAGGACUUCGGCUUACAGCUGAUACCAGAACCUUCAGAAAAAUGCAAAUCAUCUAUAACACAACUCGAUGCUUACGGCGGUGCCUUCCCAUCUUUUUUCUGCAAAGAAUGGCCGAGUGGAUUCUGAGGACCGGAGGAGCCGCCACUGCCCGUACCUGGACACCAUUAACAGGAGUGUGCUGGACUUUGACUUUGAGAAACUGUGUUCUAUCUCCCUCUCACACAUCAAUGCUUAUGCCUGUCUGGUGUGUGGCAAGUACUUUCAAGCUUUUCACCCUUCCCUACAGGCCGGGGUUUGAAGUCUCACGCCUACAUUCACAGUGUCCAGUUUAGCCACCAUGUUUUCCUCAACCUCCACACCCUCAAGUUUUACUGCCUUCCAGACAACUAUGAGAUCAUCGAUUCCUCAUUGGAGGAUAUCACGGUGUGUGU